rnacentral:lncRNA from 1 species
AAUUUGUGGCUGGCUCUAACCACCAGCCCCUGCUGUCAAGGAGGAGGGGCUCCCACAGGGAGCGGGAGAGAGGUUAGAGGCAGACUCUUCUCAGAGGGGCCCAGAAAAGGACUGAAAGGCAGUGGGCAGAAGUUGAGACGGGGAAAUCCUGCUGGGGCAGGGGCACAAACCCUUUGCCAGAGGCGUGAGGCAGCCCUGGGACAGGGUCUGGGACCAGGGGGUGGUUCUGCAUCUGGGGACACUGCCCUGGCCCAGAGCUUGAGCAAAGUGGUUUAAUAUUGAAGAUAGAUCUAAAAUGGAAGUUUGACUGGAAACUCCUGAGGUUCCUCCCCAAAAACCAAAAUGUAGCUCUGAUCCCACAAAAGGGAGUGGUGGAGAUAGAUUAAGUUGCAGUGAUAAGCCAAGGUGGAGACUUGUGAUACCAGGAAGGCCAUGGGCUGGGUCAGGAUAUCAGGGCUGGCUCAGGCAGGGAUGAUGUGGCAAAAUCUAGCUGUGCUCUAUAAAUCCAGCCCCAGUCUUACCAUCAUGCACAGUCUUAGUCUGAAGGACAGAGUACCCUGUUGCAAAGAAGAAGCCAUGGAGAGACGGAUCUGUGUUGCAUUCCUGGCCAUUUGUCUCCUGCUGCUGGGAGGCACUAAGGCAGCUUCCCUGAACUCACACAGCUUUAAUGGGAAUAUAGCCGGGGAUGGCAGCUUCAACGACAAUGGGAAUGGCUUCGAGUCCCCAGCCAUCUAUGAACCUCUGGGUGCCUCAGGCAACCAUGAGAGCUUCGACUGGAACAGGGUCGGCCACAACAGCUUCAAUGACAACGGGAAUGGCUUCGAGUCCCCAGCCAUCUAUGUGAGUAUUGCAAGAGACCAGGACCUCCAUCACAACAGGAGCUAACAGGCAGUCCUCCUUUC